rnacentral:rRNA from 1 species
GCAUAUCAAUAAGCGGAGGAAAAGAAACUAACUAGGAUUCCCUUAGUAACGGCGAGUGAACCGGGAUGAGCUCAAAUUUAAAAUCUGGCGUCUUUCAGGCGUCCGAGUUGUAAUCUAUAGAGGCGUUUUCCGCGCCGGACCGCGUCCAAGUCUCUUGGAAUAGAGUAUCAAAGAGGGUGACAAUCCCGUACUUGACGCGACAACCGGUGCUCUGUGAUACGUUCUCAAUGAGUCGAGUUGUUUGGGAAUGCAGCUCUAAAUGGGUGGUAAAUUCCAUCUAAGGCUAAAUAUUGGCGAGAGACCGAUAGCGAACAAGUACCGUGAGGGAAAGAUGAAAAGCACUUUGGAAAGAGAGUUAAACAGCACGUGAAAUUGUUAAAAGGGAAACGAUUGAAGUCAGUCGUGUGAAAGGUAUUCAGCCGUCUCUGGCGGUGUAUUUGCCUUUCACGGGUCAACAUCAGUUUGAUCCGGUAGAAAAAGGCAGGAGGAAGGUGGCACCCUCGGGUGUGUUAUAGCCUCUUGUCAUAUGUGCCGGACCAGACUGAGGAACGCAGCUUGCCGCAAGGCCGGGGUUCGCCCACGUACAAGCUUAGGAUGUUGACAU